rnacentral:lncRNA from 1 species
UGGGACGCUGUGCGCACGCGCGCCGUUUCCCUGGCAGCUGGGGUUGUUUUCGGCUGAACCACCUGCGGGGGGGGGGGGGGAGCGAGGGCGAGACCAUUGGAGGAGUGGGGCGGGGGCGGCCGCAGCAGCAGCACCGGUACUGGCGGCAGCGGCACGACUGGUGUAGUCUGGGUAUCCAGUGAAUGUGCGAGUGGCGUCUAACAGAAGGUGUUCUGCAGGGAGGACUUGGAGCUGCUGCCUUGAUGUGCUGUUGGAAGGGCAGAAUGGUGAAUUCUGAGGAAGAAGCAGCUGGUGUGCUGAGCUGCUUUUAACCAAGGACUGAAAAUGCCAGCAGUUGAAAGUGAGGCAAAGGCAAAAACCAAAGUUCGCUUUGAGGAAAUCUUCAGACGUCAUGCUGGCCUAACAGAAAACAAGAAAUCAAAGAAAAAGUUCCACUCUCAAGAGAAUAUUGUGUUUUUCGGAAAAGAUUUAAGAUUUUCAAAUUCAGUGCGAGUUUGAAUGAUGGACUUCUAGGAUCAUGGCCAUAGCAGUAUUUAUUUCUGAGAGUAAUAACACAUCUGUGAAUUGAGAACCAAUGAGAGUUUAGAUAAUCAACUUCAUUACAUUCCCUAAAGUUACUGGUAUAAGUAUCUACAAACAAUAUUAAAUAACAACAUUUGAAAUGUGUUUUUUCAUUUUGAUCUCUGUAAUCAGCAUAUUUCUACAUGUGCUGAACUUUCUUUACAUGUGUAUUAAGUAGUUCACCUGUUUUUAAGAUAUUUGCCUUGGCUUGUGACUUGAAGGUUAGGAAUGCAUUUAUCAACCUGUCUUUAUGGUUAGAUGACAUCUUUGUGGCAUUUUUUCCAUUAAAAGAGCCUGUGAGAUUCCUCUAAAUUAUGGUUCAUAUUGUAACUUUUUUUCUGAGUAGAAAAAUAAAUGUUUGUGUCUUAUAUAUCCCAAU